rnacentral:rRNA from 1 species
UACGUAGGGGGCAAGCGUUGUCCGGAAUCAUUGGGCGUAAAGCGCGUGUAGGCGGCCAGGUAAGUCCGUUCUGAAAGCCCGGGGCUCAACCCCGGGAGGCGGAUGGAUACUGCUUGGCUCGAGUCCGGAAGAGGCGAGUGGAAUUCCCGGUGUAGCGGUGAAAUGCGCAGAUAUCGGGAGGAACACCAAUGGCGAAGGCAGCUCGCUGGGACGGUACUGACGCUGGAGACGCGAAAGCGUGGGGAGCAA